GGGAACCCGGUGAACUGAAACAUCUAAGUAGCCGGAGGAAGAGAAAGAAACAUCGAUUUCCUUAGUAGCGGCGAGCGAAAGGGAAAGAGCCCAAACCGAGGGUCUACGGACGUUCGGGGUUCGGACUUGCAAAAAUCGAAGUACUUAUAGACGAAGAGGUUUGGAACUUCCUACCAAAGAGGGUAACAGUCCCGUAGUCGAAAUGAGUACAAGAGGGCGAGAAUCCAGAGUACCACAGGACACGAGUAAUCCGGUGGGAAGACGGGGGGCCCACCCCCCAAGGCUAAAUACUACUUGGUGACCGAUAGCGUAUAGUACCGUGAGGGAAAGGUGAAAAGAACCCCGGGAGGGGAGUGAAAGAGUACCUGAAACCCUAUGUUUACAAGCAGUGGGAGCGAGAGCGACCAUGUACUUUUUGUAGAACGGGCCGGCGAGUUACUGUGUGCAGCGAGGUUAAGUUGUUAAGCAACGGAGCCGAAGGGAUACCGAGUCUGAAAAGGGCGUAAAGUUGCAUGCAGUACACCCGAAACCGGGUGACCUAUCCAUGGACAGGAUGAAGCGACGGUAAGACGUCGUGGAGGUCCGAACCACACGUACGUGAAAAGUGCGGGGAUGAGCUGUGGAUAGCGGAGAAAUUCCAAUCGAACUCGGAGAUAGCUGGUUCUCCCCGAAAUAGCUUUAGGGCUAGCCUCGAUUUAGAUUACCGGGGGUAGAGCACUGAAUGGGCUAGGGGGCCACAAAGCUUACCGAACCCUAUCAAACUUCGAAUACCGGAUAAUUGAUGAUCGGGAGUCAGACAGUGUGAGAUAAGUUUCAUUGUCGAAAGGGAAACAGCCCAGAUCUACGACUAAGGUCCCAAAGUUCAAGUUAAGUGGAAAAGGAUGUGCAAUUGCGUAGACAACCAGGAUGUUGGCUUAGUAGCAGCCAUUCAUUCAAAGAGUGCGUAAUAGCUCACUGGUCGAGUGAUUGUGCGCCGAAAAUGUAACGGGGCUAAACUUGACACCGAAGUCUAGGCAGAAGGAAACUUCUGGGUAGGGGAGCAACGUGUACGGGCAGAAGCAGAAGCGGAAGCGACUGUGGACUGUACAGGAGAGAGAAUGCCGGCAUGAGUAGCGAGAGCAAAGUGAGAAUCUUUGCCGUCGAAAGCCUAAGGUUUCCUGAGGAAGGCUCGUCCUCUCAGGGUAAGUCGGGACCUAAGCCGAGGACAAUAGUCGUAGGCGAUGGACAAUCGGUUAAUAUUCCGAUACCGCCGAGCAACCGGAUGCAGUGACACAGAAGGAUAGGCAGAGCGUGGCGAUGGUAGACCACGUCCAAGCAGUGAGGCUGUUGUGUAGUGAAGUACGCACAACGGAAGGCUGGGCUGUGAUGGGGAACGAUUACGAUCGGUAAGCUGCUGAAUUCACGCUGGCGAGAAAAGCUGCUACGAAGCGAAGGCGCCCGUACCGCAAACCGACACAGGUAGGCGAGGAGAGAAUCCUAAGACGAGCGGGAGAACCCUUGUUAAGGAACUCGGCAAAAUGACUCCGUAACUUAGGGAGAAGGAGUGCCUAGGAAUGGGCCGCAGAGAAUAGACCCAAGCGACUGUUUACCAAAAACACAGGUCUGUGCGAAGUAGAGAUACGACGUAUACGGGCUGACACCUGCCCAGUGCCGGAAGGUUAAGGGGAAAUGUUAGGGCAACCGAAGCAUGGAACUUAAGCCCCGGUGAACGGCGGCCGUAACUAUAACGGUCCUAAGGUAGCGAAAUUCCUUGUCGGGUAAG
rnacentral:rRNA from 1 species